GAAGUGCGACAAGUGUCAUGACUUGCAGAUUCCCGAGAGCUGACAAAUCUCUGAAUGCAAAUGGCGGUCGUCACAACGGCCAUGUUUUGCAGAGUGUAGUUGUUCAUACUUUUCAUCCAUCAAUCAUCAUUCUCUCUCUUCAAUGAUGGUUCGAUUGGGAUCUGCACUUGCGAUUUCAGUCUUGAAUCCACGCGAGUGUGAAACAAUGGAGUAUACACCCCAUCGAUCGAAUUCUGGAAAGGAAUAGACGCUGGGGGAUACAACUUCGGACCAUAUCCGUUGUGAGAUAUGAGAAGAGGAUUGAAGUAUACACACGAAAACGAAUUCUAUACAGCCACCUCUGCGAAGCAGGAGAACCCGCUGAACUUAA
rnacentral:misc_RNA from 1 species